ACUCAGUCGGUAGCACAUGGGACUCUUAUUCCCAGGGUUGUGGGUUCGAGCCCCACAUUGGGUG
rnacentral:tRNA from 1 species